GACGAACGCUGGCGGCGCGCUUAACACAUGCAAGUCGAGCGAAGCGGCGGACGGGUGAGUAACACGUGAGUAACCUGCCUUAGACAUUGGGAUAGCCUCGGGAAACCGGGAUUAAUACCAAAUGGUCUAAGAUGGACUCGCGUCACAUUAGCUAGUUGGUGAGGUAACGGCCCACCAAGGCGACGAUGGGUAGCCGGCAUGAGAGGGUGAACGGCCACGUUGGGACUGCGAACCGGUCCAAACUCUACGGGAGGCAGAAGGAGGGAAUAGAUCACAAUGGAGGGAAGUCUGAUGCGGCGACGCCGCGUGAACGAAGAAGGCUUUCGAGUCGUAAAGUUCUUUUAUUUGGGAAGCGGUACCAUAAGAAAAAGCCCCGGCUAACUACGUGCCAGCAGCCGCGGUAAUUC
rnacentral:rRNA from 1 species